AGACACCUAUCAGACAUCAGUCCCAGUAGUGACAGUGUGCUUCUCUCACCAUUCUGACACGAUGUGCAAGCUCACUCUAACUGCAGGUCUCUGCGUGAUCAUCGCCAGCUUGGGGUUACCUGGCCUUGCGACAGGAGCUCCUGCAAACCCCUGUCAAGGGAAAGCAGAUGGGAACUACGCUAAGCCUGAUGACGACAAUUCUUUUUACCAAUGUGUAGCUGGAAAAACCUAUGUCCAAACAUGCCAAGCAGGUUUGGUGUAUAGUGUAUCCAAAGAUGCCUGUGACUAUCCUGAUAAAUCUGGCAUUCCAGUACAAGGAUUCUGUAGUGGUAAAGCGGAUGGGAACUACGCUAAGCCUGAUGACGACAAUUCUUUUUACCAAUGUGUAGCUGGAAAAACCUACGUCCAAACAUGCCAACCAGGUUUGGUGUAUAGUGUAUCCAAAGAUGCCUGUGACUAUCCUGCUUCACCCAAGUAGUACACCUAAAGGAUACUGUCACGGUAGAAAAGAUGGGAACUACUGCAACCCUGAUGACCGACAUUGUUAUUACAGCUGUGUAGGUAGAACAGCCUACAUCCCAAAAUUCCCAGACAAUUUGGUGCAUAAAAGAUUCAGUAGUCGCUACAUCCCACAUCCACUACGACAAAAACAACAACCUCCACUACAGAUUCUACAACUCCCAAAAGCAAAUCAACUUAUUUAGACAUAGUCACAUUCUGUUAAAUGUCCAACUUCCUGUGAUUCUUCAUUGUGGCUUGAAAUGAAAAGUUAUAUAAUAGUUGUUUCUGCUCAUUUAUCUGACAUGCCUUACUUAACUUCAUGAUUGUUGUUAAUAAAUUAGGCCUAUGUGAUUGUUGUUAUAUUUAAUCGUAAGGGUGUGUUCUCUAUGUUUUUUUGGUUUAGCAUUUAGUGAAUGGCUUUGUUUUACAUUAUGACAGAUAUGUUGCAUAUUCUGUCAUUGUUGGUGUAUUUAAUCAUAUGGGUGUGUUUCCUGUAUAAUGGACAAUAAAAUAGCACAAAUAUACCAGACUUAUAAUGGCACGUUUUUUGAGGGUUUUGAUCUUCAUUUGGUUGUUCUGUAUUGGCUGCGCUAUAAUAUUACGGUGUAAAAAUAGUGAAACAAUGAAUCAAUAAAAUAUCACAAUUAUAACUGA